rnacentral:rRNA from 1 species
ACAGAGGUGGCGAGCGUUGUUCGGAUUUACUGGGCGUAAAGGGUGCGUAGGUGGUCUCGUAUGUCGGAUGUGAAAUCCCACUGCUCAACGGUGGAACUGCAUUGGAAACUGCGAGACUGGAGUGCAGGAGGGGAGAGCGGAAUACUUGGUGUAGCGGUGAAAUGCGUUGAUAUCAAGUAGAACAUCGGUGGCGUAGGCGGCUCUCUGGAAUGCAACUGACACUGAGGCACGAAAGCUAGGGGAGCAAACAG